rnacentral:rRNA from 1 species
GGGGAGCGAACAGGAUUAGAUACCCUGGUAGUUCACGCCGUAAACGGUGGGAAAUAGGUGUUGGCGACAUUUCACGUUGUCGGUGCCGCAGCUAACGCAUUAAAUUUCCCGCCUGGGGAGUACGGCCGCAAGGCUAAAAAUCAAAGGAAUUGACGGGGGCCCGCACAAGCAGCGGAGCAUGUGGGUUAAUUUGACGCAACGCGAAGAACCUUACCAAGGCUUGACAUACCCCGGAAACGGCCAGAGAUGGUUGCCCCCUUGUGGUCGGUGUACAGGUGGUGCAUGGCUGUUGUCAGCUCGUGUUGUGAGAUGUUGGGUUAAGUCCCGCAACGAGCGCAACCCUUGUUUUGUGUUGCCAGCAUGCCCUUUGGGGUGAUGGGGACUCACAGGAGACUGCCGGGGUCAACUUGGAGGAAGGUGGGGACGACGUCAAGUCAUCAUGCCCCUUAUGUUUUGGGCUGCACACGUGCUACAAUGGCAGGUACAAUGAGCUGGGAAGCCGUGAGGCGGAGCGAAUUUCAAAAAGCCUGUUUCAGUUUGGAUUGGGGUUUGCAACUCGACCCCCAGAAGUCGGAGUUGCUAGUAAUCGCAGAUCAGCAUUGCUGCGGGGAAUACGUUCCCGGGCCUUGUACACACCGCCCGUCACGUCACGAAAGUCGGUAACACCCGAAGCCGGUGGCCCAACCCCUAGUGGGAGGGAGCUUC